rnacentral:rRNA from 1 species
GACGAACGCUGGCGGCGUGCUUAACACAUGCAAGUCGAACGGAAAGGCCCUGCUCUUGUGGGGUGCUCGAGUGGCGAACGGGUGAGUAACACGUGAGUAACCUGCCCUUGACUUUGUGAUAACUUCAGGAAACUGGGGCUAAUACCGGAUAGGAGCUCCUGCUGCAUGGUGGGGGUUGGAAAGUUUCGGCGGUUGGGGAUGGACUCGCGGCUUAUCAGCUUGUUGGUGGGGUAGUGGCUUACCAAGGCUUUGACGGGUAGCCGGCCUGAGAGGGUGACCGGCCACAUUGGGACUGAGAUACGGCCCAGACUCCUACGGGAGGCAGCAGUGGGGAAUAUUGCACAAUGGGCGGAAGCCUGAUGCAGCAACGCCGCGUGCGGGAUGACGGCCUUCGGGUUGUAAACCGCUUUCGCCUGUGACGAAGCGUGAGUGACGGUAAUGGGUAAAGAAGCACCGGCUAACUACGUG